GACGUAGGUGGCGAACGUUAUUCGGAAUUAUUGGGCGUAAAGGGCGCGUAGGCGGCCUUCUAAGUCGAACGUGAAAUCCCUGGGCUCAACCCAGGAACUGCGUCCGAUACUGGAAGGCUUGAAUCCGGGAGAGGGAUGCGGAAUUCCAGGUGUAGCGGUGAAAUGCGUAGAUAUCUGGAGGAACACCGGUGGCGAAGGCGGCAUCCUGGACCGGUAUUGACGCUGAGGCGCGAAAGCCAGGGGAGCAAACGGG
rnacentral:rRNA from 1 species